UUCUUGAAUGUUGCAAAGGAACAUCGGCCCCAACUACCAAGAUGGGCUUGGGAGGAGAUUGCAGCGUCUCUCAAUAAGUUCAAUAUAAAUGCUGUCCACUCCUGCGAAGAAGUCAGGAGAAAAUAUAAAGACAUUCUGCAAUCAGG